rnacentral:rRNA from 1 species
UACGUAGGGGGCAAGCGUUGUCCGGAUUUAUUGGGCGUAAAGAGCGUGUAGGCGGCCGCACAGGUCCGUUGUGAAAACUGGAGGCUUAACCUUCAGACGUCGAUGGAAACCGUCUGGCUAGAGUCCGGAAGAGGAGAGUGGAAUUCCUGGUGUAGCGGUGAAAUGCGCAGAUAUCAGGAAGAACACCCGUGGCGAAAGCGGCUCUCUGGGACGGUACUGACGCUGAGACGCGAAAGCGUGGGGAGCGAACAGG